ensembl:snoRNA
CUGGCCCUGAAUCAAGGCCGGCAGCUUUCUGAUGCUGUUGGUUUCAAGUAGAAGCCUAAAGAGAUGUCUUUCUAUGGUCUGUUGGCCAAUUCAGAACACGGACAGUGAAAUGAUCAAUUCAUUAGAAAGAAACAGCU